rnacentral:rRNA from 1 species
UACGUAGGGUGCAAGCGUUAAUCGGAAUUACUGGGCGUAAAGCGUGCGCAGGCGGGCUGGAAAGUUGGGGGUGAAAUCCCGGGGCUCAACCCCGGAAUGGCCUUCAAAACUCCCAGCCUAGAGUUCGAGAGAGGUGAGUGGAAUUCCGAGUGUAGAGGUGAAAUUCGUAGAUAUUCGGAGGAACACCAGUGGCGAAGGCGGCUCACUGGCUCGACACUGACGCUGAGGUGCGAAAGCGUGGGGAGCAAACAGG